AUUGAACGCUGGCGGAAUGCUUUACACAUGCAAGCCGAACGGCAGCACGGACUUCGGUCUGGUGGCGAGUGGCGAACGGGUGAGUAAUGUAUCGGAACGUGCCCAGUCGUGGGGGAUAACGUAGUGAAAAUUACGCUAAUACCGCAUACGAUCUAUGGAUGAAAGCGGGGGAUCGCAAGACCUCGCGCGAUUGGAGCGGCCGAUAUCAGAUUAGGUAGUUGGUGGGGUAAAGGCCCACCAAGCCAACGAUCUGUAGCUGGUCUGAGAGGACGACCAGCCACACUGGAACGGAGACACGAUCCAGACUCCUACGGGAGGCAGCAGUGGGGAAUUGUGGACAAUGGGCGAAAGCAUGAUCCAGCCAUUCCGCGUGCAGGAUGAAGGCCCUCGGGUUGUAAACUGCUUUUGUACAGAACGAAAAGGUUUCUACUAAUACUAGGAGCUCAUGACGGUACUGUAAGAAUAAGCACCGGCUAACUACGUGCCAGCCGCCGCGGUAA
rnacentral:rRNA from 1 species